AAAUCUCGACCGGGGCGACAGCAAUAUGAAGGUCAGGCUGAAGACCUUACCCGAUUAGCUGAGAGGUGGUGCAUGGCCGUCGUCAGUUUCGUACUGUGAAGCAUCCUGUUAAGUCAGGCAACGAGCGAGACCCACGUCCACAGUUGCCAGCAUACCCUCCGGGGUGAUGGGUACACUGUGGAGACCGCCGCUGCUAAAGCGGAGGAAGGAGUGGGCAACGGUAGGUCAGUAUGCCCCGAAUCUCCCGGGCUACACGCGGGCUACAAUGGUUGGUACAAUGGGCAUCUACCCCGAAAGGGGAAGGAAAUCUCUUAAAGCCAAUCGUAGUUCGGAUUGAGGGCUGCAACUCGCCCUCAUGAAGCUGGAAUCCGUAGUAAUCGCGUUUCAACAGAACGCGGUGAAUACGUCCCUGCUCCUU
rnacentral:rRNA from 1 species